AACGAACGCUGGCGGCAGGCUUAACACAUGCAAGUCGAACGGGUGUAGCAAUACAUCAGUGGCAGACGGGUGAGUAACACGUGGGAACCUUCCUAGGGGUACGGAACAACUCAGGGAAACUUGAGCUAAUACCGUAUACGUCCGUGAGGAGAAAGAUUUAUCGCCCUUAGACGGGCCCGCGUCGGAUUAGCUAGUUGGUGGGGUAAGGGCCUACCAAGGCGAGGAUCCGUAGCUGAGCUUAGAGGAUGAUCAGCCACACUGGGACUGAGAACCGGCCCAGACUCCUACGGGAGGCAGCAGGGGGGAAUCUUGGACAAUGGGCGCAAGCCUGAUCCAGCCAUGCCGCGUGAGUGAAGAAGGUCUUCGGAUUGUAAAGCUCUUUUGCCAGGGACGAUAAUGACGGUACCUGGAGAAUAAGCCCCGGCAAACUUCGUGCCAGCCGCCGCUGUAA
rnacentral:rRNA from 1 species